rnacentral:rRNA from 1 species
GCCUUAUAGGCUAAGUUUGUUGAGCUCAUCGGUUCAACCCUGUUGGCCAUGGUAGGCGACUGAAUGGGUGAUUCGACAUCAUCCGACUCAGACCGUCCUAGAUCCUACGGAGCAGCAGUAGGGCAUCUGCGGCAUGUACGAAGUCGACGGAAGCAACGCCGCUGGAGUGAUGAAGAUCUUCCGCAUCCGUAAACUCUGUGGUUAAGAGAAGAACAACUACCGUUCGCAUAGGGGCGGUACCUUGGACGGUACCUAACCAGAAGUCACGGCUAAAUACGUGCCAGCAGCCGCGGUAAUACGUAGGUGGCGAGCGUUGUCAGGAAUUAUUGGGCGUAAAGCGCGCGCCGGCGGUUUCUUAAGUCUGAUGUGAAAGCCCCCGGCUCAACCGGGGAGGGUCAUUGGAAACUGGGGAACUUGAGUGCAGAAGAGGAGAGUGGAAUUCCACGUGUAGCGGUGAAGUGCGUAGAGAUGUGGAGGAACACCAGUGGCGAUGGCGACUCUCUGGUCUGUAACUGACGCUGAGGCGCGACAGCGUGGGGAGCGAACAGGAUUAGAUACCCUGGUAGUCCACGCCGUAAACGAUGAGUGCUAAGUGUUAGAGGGUUUCCGCCCUUUAGUGCUGCAGCAAACGCAUUAAGCACUCCGCCUGGGGAGUACGGUCGCAAGACUGAAACUCAAAGGAAUUGACGGGGGCCCGCACAAGCGGUGGAGCAUGUGGUUUAAUUCGAAGCAACGCGAAGAACCUUACCAGGUCUUGACAUCCUCUGACAACCCUAGAGAUAGGGCUUCCCCUUCGGGGGCAGAGUGACAGGUGGUGCAUGGUUGUCGUCAGCUCGUGUCGUGAGAUGUUGGGUUAAGUCCCGCAACGAGCGCAACCCUUGAUCUUAGUUGCCAGCAUUCAGUUGGGCACUCUAAGGUGACUGCCGGUGACAAACCGGAGGAAGGUGGGGAUGACGUCAAAUCAUCAUGCCCCUUAUGACCUGGGCUACACACGUGCUACAAUGGGCAGAACAAAGGGCAGCGAAGCCGCGAGGCUAAGCCAAUCCCACAAAUCUGUUCUCAGUUCGGAUCGCAGUCUGCAACUCGACUGCGUGAAGCUGGAAUCGCUAGUAAUCGCGGAUCAGCAUGCCGCGGUGAAUACGUUCCCGGGCCUUGUACACACCGCCCGUCACACCACGAGAGUUUGUAACACCCGAAGUCGGUGAGGUAACCUUGGAGCCAGCCGCCGCGGAGAGAGACGUAUGA